rnacentral:rRNA from 1 species
ACCUACGGGAGGCAGCAGUGAGGAAUAUUGGUCAAUGGUCGGGAGACUGUACCAGCCAAGCCGCGUGAGGGAUGAAGGUACAGAGUAUCGUAAACCUCUUUUGUCAGGGAACAAAGGCGGGGACGUGUCCCCGGAUGAGUGUACCUGAAGAAAAAGCAUCGGCUAACUCCGUGCCAGCAGCCGCGGUAAUACGGAGGAUGCGAGCGUUAUCCGGAUUUAUUGGGUUUAAAGGGUGCGCAGGCGGUCUGUUAAGUCAGCGGUCAGAGCCCGGGGCUCAACCCCGGCCCGCCGUUGAAACUGGCAGG